rnacentral:rRNA from 1 species
UACGUACCGUCCAAACGUUAUUCGGAAUUACUGGGCUUAAAGGGUACGUAGGCGGCGCUGUCAGUCGGGUGUGAAAGCCCUCGGCUCAACCGAGGAAUUGCGCCCGAUACUGGAGUGCUUGAGGGAGACAGAGGUAAGCGGAACUGAUGGUGGAGCGGUGAAAUGCGUUGAUAUCAUCAGGAACACCAGUGGCGAAAGCGGCUUACUGGGUCUCUUCUGACGCUGAGGUACGAAAGCUAGGGGAGCGAAGGGG